GGGUUCCACACGUACCCAUCCCGAACACGACCGUUAAGCCCUCCAGCGCCGAUGGUACUUGGACCGCAGGGUCCUGGGAGAGUAGGACGCCGCCAAGC
rnacentral:rRNA from 1 species